rnacentral:rRNA from 1 species
UACGGGGGGGAGCAAGCGUUGUUCGGAUUUACUGGGCGUAAAGGGCGCGUAGGCGGCCACCGCAAGUCGACUGUGAAAUCUCCGAGCUUAACUCGGAACGGUCAGCUGAUACUGUUUUGCUAGAGUGCAGAAAGGGCAACCGGAAUUCUUGGUGUAGCGGUGAAAUGCGUAGAUAUCGAGAGGAACACCUGCGGCGAAGGCGGGUUGCUGGGCUGAUACUGACGCUGAGGCGCGAAAGCCAGGGGAGCGAACGGGG